rnacentral:rRNA from 1 species
GACGAACGCUGGCGGCGUGCUUAACACAUGCAAGUCGAACGGAAAGGCCCUGCUUUUGUGGGGUGCUCGAGUGGCGAACGGGUGAGUAACACGUGAGUAACCUGCCCUUGACUUUGGGAUAACUUCAGGAAACUGGGGCUAAUACCGGAUAGGAGCUCCUGCUGCAUGGUGGGGGUUGGAAAGUUUCGGCGGUUGGGGAUGGACUCGCGGCUUAUCAGCUUGUUGGUGGGGUAGUGGAUUACCAAGGCUUUGACGGGUAGCCGGCCUGAGAGGGUGACCGGACACAUUGGGACUGAGCUGCGGCCCAGACUACUCCGGGAGGCAGCAGUGGGGAAUAUUGUACAAUGGGCGGAAGCCUGAUGCAGCAACGCCGCGUGCGGGAUGACGGCCAUCGGGUUGUAAACCGCUUUCGCCUGUGACGAAGUGUGAGUGACGGUAAUGGGUAAAGAAGCACCGGCUAACUACGUG